rnacentral:tRNA from 3 species
AAUUAAUGAACUUGAAUAAGUAUAUGUUUUGAAAACAUAAAAUAAAUGUAGAAUCAUUUAUUAAUUU